rnacentral:lncRNA from 1 species
CAGAGCACGUCACAAAUGGGACUGCCUUGUCCCCAGAACCGUAACUGCGGAGGUUCCCACCUUCUAUUUUCCCACCCUACCUCCCUGCCCCACUUCUGCGCCCUGGGUUCUGAAUUACCAGUCAGAUUCCCUCACUUCGCUGCUCGGAUCCCUUCAGCAUCCUUCCAUCUCACUAGGAAUAAAAUACAGAAUCUCGACCACACUUCGCAAGCCCUCGUCUGCUGUAUCCUUCCAGGCACACACUGGCUUCGUGGCAUCUCGGCUCUUCUCUCUUCUCCUGAAUCCUCUCCCUGUCACCUGUGGACCUGGCCGGGGCAGUUCCCUCGGGGGCCGUUUACCUGGGCUGUUUCUGCGCUCACGUACCCACAGGAGGUGCGUGGUAGAACACCAGGCAUGUGCGUGUUCUCCCCAUGGAGGCGGUGGAGAGACAGGACAGGCUGCAGGAGGAGGCCAAAGACAGAGUCUCAGGGCCCGGGACCCUCACCAUGUGGUUCGCUUUGGACAGAAAGAAAGGUGAAGCCACUAUGCACUGUGCUUUCCUUGACACACAAGCUGUGGGCAGAAAACAAAAUGGGUGUGAGUCGUAUUUAAUUAAGAAUGCAAACCCUGCAAUCUGACUGCCCAGCUUCCUACGCUGUCUUUGCCAUUUACCAGCUGUGCAACAGUGAGCUGCUUCAGUUUCCUCAGCUGCAGAGCAGGAGUAACAGUGCAGCUUCCAGAAGAGCAAAGGGAGAAUCAAAUGAGUUGAUCUGAAAACAUUCAGAACAGUGUCCCUUAUACGUGGAAGGGACACUUUCAUCUCACGUUCAGUAGGAAAGAAACAGCCACUAUUCAGACAGCAAAUAAAAAUCAUCCGAU